rnacentral:rRNA from 1 species
UACGGAGGGCGCGAGCGUUAAUCGGAAUUACUGGGCGUAAAGCGCGCGUAGGCUGUUGUGUAAGUUGGGGGUGAAAUCCCACGGCUCAACCGUGGAACAGCCCUUGAUACUGCGCGACUUGAAUCCGGGAGAGGGUGGCGGAAUUCCAGGUGUAGGAGUGAAAUCCGUAGAUACCUGGAGGAACAUCAGUGGCGAAGGCGGCCACCUGGACCGGUAUUGACGCUGAGGCGCGAAAGCGUGGGGAGCAAACAGG